AGAGUUUGAUCCUGGCUCAGAACGAACGCUGGCAGCGUGGAUAAGGCAUGCAAGUCGUACGAUCCGCCUUUGGCGGAUAGUGGCGAACGGGUGAGUAACACGUGGGUAAUCUACCCUGGAUACCGGGAUAACAUACUGAAAAGUAUGCUAAUACCGGAUACGAUCGCGGCAACUUAUGUUGUUGCGAUGAAAGGAUGGCCUCUAUUUAUAAGCUAUCGAUCCUGGAUGAGCCCGCGGCCCAUUAGCUAGUUGGUGGGGUAAGGCCUACCAAGGCAACGAUGGAUAGCCGGUCUGAGAGGAUGGUCAGCCACACUGGGACUGAGACACUGCCCAGACUCCUACGGGAGGCUGCAGUCGAGAGUCUUUCACAAUGGGGGAAACCCUGAUGAAGCGACGCUGCGUGGAGGAUGAAGGCCUUCGGGUUGUAAACUCCUGUCACUAGGGACGAAUUGUGCGCCUGUAAAUAGCAGACGCAUUUGACGGUACCUAGAGAGGAAGCCACGGCUAACUCCGUGCCAGAGCCGCGGUAAUACGGAGGUGGCGAGCGUUGUUCGGAUUUAUUGGGCGUAAAGCGCGUGUAGGCGGCCGCGAAAGUUCGGUGUGAAAUCCUUCGGCUCAACCGAAGAAUGGCAUCGAAAACUUCACGGCUAGAGUACGAGAGAGGUAAGCGGAAUUCCCGGUGUAAGAGUGAAAUCUGUAGAUAUCGGGAGGAACACCAGUGGCGAAGGCGGCUUACUGGCUCGAGACUGACGCUGAAAUGCGAAAGGUAGGGGAGCAACAGGAUUAGAUACCCUGGUAGUCCUACCCGUAAACGAUGGACACUAGGUGUAGGUCCUUUUAAAGGAUCUGUGCCGCAGCUAACGCAUUAAGUGUCCCGCCUGGGGAGUACGGCCGCAAGGCUAAAACUCAAAGGAAUUGACGGGGACCCGCACAAGCGGUGGAGCAUGUGGUUUAAUUCGAUGCAACGCGAAGAACCUUACCAGCCCUUGACAUACUCGGAACUUUCCAGAGAUGGAUUGGUGUCUUCGGGAAUCGGAUACAGGUGCUGCAUGGCUGUCGUCAGCUCGUGUCGUGAGAUGUUGGGUUAAGUCCCGCAACGAGCGCAACCCUUGUCCUUAGUUGCCAGCACUUCGGGUGGGAACUCUAGGGAGACUGCCGGUGACAAACCGGAGGAAGGUGGGGACGACGUCAAGUCAGCAUGGCCUUUAUGCCUGGGGCUACACACGUGCUACAAUGGCCGGCACAAAGGGUUGCAAUCCCGCAAGGGGGAGCCAAUCCCAAAAAACCGGCCCCGUUCAGAUUGGGGUCUGCAACUCGACCCCAUGAAGGCGGAAUCGCUAGUAAUCGCGGAUCAGCACGCCGCGGUGAAUACGUUCCCGGGCCUUGUACACACCGCCUGUCACACCACGAAAGUUGGUUGUACCAGAAGUCGCUGGAGCUAACCCGUAAGGGAGGCAGGCGCCCAAGGUAUGGUUGAUGAUUGGGGUGAAGUCGUAACAAGGUAACC
rnacentral:rRNA from 1 species